CGGGCGUCCCGUCCACGCGUCCUCCGUAAUAAACCUUUCCUUCGGCUCACCUUUGCUUCUGUAGCUUUGUACCGGCGCCUCAAAGUUAAGGAAAACAGAUUGGAAAAGUCAGACUCAAGUCAUCCCAUUACGAUGGAUGACGCAUGGAGACUAACGAUGGUACUCAAGGAUCGACACUGAACAAUCUGCAGCAUAUAAUCCCGAAGACACGUGAUACGUGAAUAAUGGCCCGAUCAAUCAAUAGCCAAAAUCAAUAAAAAAAAAAAAGAACAAACAAUCUCUAAUCGGGAAAUUUUUUAAAUUGCGAAUUAUUUUUGGACCAUUGGUAUGCUGAUUCAUGCGAGUUUAGAAGUAAGGAUUACGAGAUCUGAUAUCCCUAUUUAUAACAGCAAAAAUAGUAACGAUCUAAUUAAUUUUAACAACUAAUCAAAACGUAAGAAAGAGGCUACGAAAAAUUUCUACCAGUUGAGGGCAACGGACUGACGUCAAAAUAUGAAGGAUAAUUUAUCCCAGUGAAAUACAUUCGAGAAAUAUGAUAAACAUAGUGGAGCGAGCGGGCAAGUGUUUUAAUAAUUUAAAAGUUAAAAAUAGUCGAGUUGCCGGAAUGGUGAAAGGUAUACAAAUGGAACGUACGUGAGACUUAAAAAAGCUCGGAACGCGUUUACUCUAAUUGCAAGAGUGUACUAAACAGUUCAUCGCGUUUCAGUACGUAAAUUAAUUUUUCUUUUCCCCGUGUGCUUAACGAAAAUAUAAAAAGUAAUAAAAAGAUAGAAAAAAAACAAACACUAAACCACAUUGCUUAUCGAAGUUAAAGAAGAUUAACGUCUGUGUUAUACACACGGUACCCGGAUCCGAAGUUCAUCGCUGAGAAGAAAAACCAAUUUUCUUCUUGCAAUGGACUGGAUUGGCCGCGGAGAAAGUGGAAAGCAUAAGUCGCUUGAAGAUUCAAAUUUCGAUUUAACACUGAAUUGUAAAUUUUACCUACUCAACGAAACUGAAGCGAGGUUUGCUGUGGUUUAAAAAAAUCACACCUCGCCAAUAUCCGAUAUUGCAGGCCAUUUCUAUGGUGAAUAACCUAUAAAUGUGAUAUGGAGCGGCGGUUUCGUACGGUGGUAGUGAAACGAGCGUGUGUAUAGUUAGCGGUGCGAGAGUGUCAGCGAGAGGGAGAAAGCCUCGGCCAGUCAAGAUCCUCGACCCGUGAAACGGAAGCAGCUUCAACACCGAUGGGUUUAAAGUGACGUUCACUCCGCGCGGCCGUUUCUGUAUUUCGGAUUGACCCCAGCAGUGAAUUAAGUUGAACCAACGUGCCAAAUUUGUGAAAUCGUGAUACCUGAGUACACCGGCAAUGCACAAGUCACAGUUAAAUUCGCGAUGAAGAAAAAUUAAUGGUGUGCAGAAAGAUUGGACGAAUCCCAUGUUCCGGGCUGAAUAAAUUCAAUACCGUAACAUUGAUUUAUUGAUCAGACGUGUCACUGUCCUCUUAGAAGACGAGAAUCAACGCUGGUGACAAAAAGUACCAGUUGACGUUAACAUAGAAAAUUCAAUUCAUUCUGGGGAACAUAGAAAAUAGAAAAGAAAAAUGAUGAAACAGGAAAACAAACAGAUAAAAUAUUUGAAUUAUAAAUAUGAUGGUGAUUGGGAGAGACGGUGAUAAGUUUGACGACAUCAAUCAAAGAAACGAUUAAGGGUGCAAAAAUAUUCUUUCAUUAAUAUGUGAAUAGAAAAUGUAAUUGGGGGGAUUUCCCCCAAACGUAAGAGCUUCUAUUUUAUUUCAAUUUGUUGGAAGAUUUGUUUCUCUUCAAAUAUUUGCUGCCAAUCGAAAAAGCCACGGUUGAGAAAAUUGUUCCGGCUAUUCGUGACAGCUUGCAUGAAUAAACUGCCAAGUCGGAUGAAUGUAAAUAUCGUUAAUCAUAUUUUUACAGUUUAUCGAUGUCGUUGUAAAUAAUUAAUCCUAGUGAAUUUCGAGAGAUUACUAACUAAAUUUGAGGCAUUCAUAUUAUAACUCGAUCAGGUUAACUCUUGAAAAAAAAUUACCCUUACUGACAUUUGCGUGCAUGUCUAAUUUCGCAUGAUAAAUAAAACAAAGGAAUUGUUUAAAGAAAAGGUAAAUAAAUCAGGAACAACAUGCGUAAACAAAGUUCUGGGGGAAUUGAAUCGAACGUGGAAAGCGUACGGGAUGAAAACUCUAUAUCGGGCAAACAGCGAGUGGGAGUAUACCUAGAAUAAAACAAUUGCCCGUGGGGUUCUAUCUCGAUUCUCCAUUUGCGGAGUGAAAAUUGAAACAACUUCCGAAUCGUCCUGUAAAAUAAAUCGUUCGAAAUGCUUUCGCUCGAGGAAAUGAUGUACUCGACUUCGUGGCCGUUGAAUUACAGUUCCACACUGUUCGACAACCUGACCUACAACAACACCAACGUCACCGAUCCAAGUUCCGGUGGUAAUCAGUUUAUCCUGCCCUGGUGGCGACAAAUGAUCUGGACCGUUCUCUUCGCCGGCAUGAUAGUCGUCGCUACCGGUGGCAAUCUAAUCGUCAUAUGGAUCGUUCUGGCCCACAAAAGAAUGCGCACCGUCACCAACUACUUCCUGGUCAACCUGAGCAUCGCGGACGCCAUGGUCUCAACCCUGAACGUGAUAUUCAACUACACCUACAUGCUCAACAGUCACUGGCCUUUCGGAAACUUGUACUGCAAGAUCAGCCAGUUCAUUGCUGUUCUGACCAUUUGCGCCAGCGUGUUCACGCUAAUGGCCAUUUCCAUAGAUCGGUAUAUGGCGAUAAUGAAUCCCUUGAGACCGCGAAUGGGACGACGAGCCACCUUGUGCAUUGCGGUCGCCAUAUGGAUGGUCGGCGCUAUUUUGUCCCUUCCGAUGCUCCUGUUCUACACUACCUUCACGCAGAACUUCGACAACGGCGAGGUCCGAGUAAUUUGCUACAGCGAUUGGCCGAACAGAAGUGACGACGGCCUCAGCUACGGGGAAUAUCUAUACAACGUGAUAUUCAUGAUACUCACGUACUUCCUUCCGAUUGGAUCAAUGACGUUUACGUACGCCAGAGUUGGUCUUGAAUUAUGGGGUUCCCAGAGCAUAGGAGAAGCAACCCAGCGCCAGUUGGAUAACAUUCGCAGCAAGCGAAGAGUGGUCAAAAUGAUGAUCGUGGUCGUGGUGAUAUUCGCCGUCUGUUGGCUGCCUUUCCACGUUUAUUUCAUAGUGACUUCCUAUUUACCGGACAUCACAAACGAGCCCUACAUUCAGGAGGUCUUUUUAGCGAUCUACUGGCUAGCCAUGUCGAACAGCAUGUACAACCCCAUUAUAUAUUGCUGGAUGAAUUCGCGAUUUCGCCGAGGUUUCGCCCAGUUUUUCUCAUGGUGCCCGUGGGUGCGAAUCACCCCCGAGCCGAACCUGUCGCGAUCUGAAGCAGUGACGUCACGCUACAGCUGUACCGGAAGUCCGGAUGGUAAUGCAAGAAUUUCACGGAACGGUACGUCUUCAACGUGCGAGCGACUUUGCACUUCGUCGAGUACUCCAAGCGAGUCCCGUCUCGAUUUCAACCUUGAAUUCAACUUCGAUGUCGCAAAUGAAAACGCGGCGGAAGAAGCCGCCCUUCGCCUUCGCAAUCCAAUUCCCAAUCAGUUCACAGUCACCUAGAUUUCGUUUUUCUGUUCGUCGAUUUUGGAUUUUCUUAUUGUUUCACACAGGUACAGUGCGAAUUCCCCUCCAUCUACAGUCGAGCCGAUGCAUUGCCGGUGGAAACGGUGCCGGAACGAGAUUUCCCGUUCAUCAUCGGGGUCACGGAAAGAGGUGGAGAACCUCGCAGAGCCGAGGACACGUAUC
rnacentral:misc_RNA from 1 species